rnacentral:rRNA from 1 species
ACUCAAAGGAAUAGACGGGGACCCACACAAGCGGUGGAGCAUGGGGUUUAAUUCGAUAGUAACCGAAGAACCUCACCUAGGCUUGACAUCUAGCGAACCUCCCAGAAACGGGAGGGUGCCGCAAGGAACGCUAAGACAGGCGCUGCACGGUUGUCGUCAGCUCGUGCCUUGAGGUGUACUGUUAAGUCAGCGAACGAGCGCAACCCUCAUCCUGUGUUGUUUUUUCACGGGAGACUGCCGCCUCCAAGGCGGAGGAAGGUGGGGAUGACGUCAAAUCAGCGUGGCCCUUAUGCCUAGGGCAACACCCGUGCUACAAUGGCCGGUACAAACCGCCGCAAAUCCGCAAGGAAGAGCCAAUCGGAAAAAACCGGUCUCAGUUCGGAUUGGAGUCUGCAACUCGACUCCAUGAAGUUGGAAUCGCUAGUAAACGUGAAUCAGCUAUGUCACGUUGAAUAUGUUCCUGGGUCUUGUACACACCGCCCGU